rnacentral:rRNA from 1 species
AUUGAACGCUGGCGGCAGGCCUAACACAUGCAAGUCGAGCGGAUGAGGGAAGCUUGCUUCCCGAUUUAGCGGCGGACGGGUGAGUAAUGCCUAGGAAUCUGCCUAUUAGUGGGGGAUAACGUUCCGAAAGGAACGCUAAUACCGCAUACGUCCUAUGGGAGAAAGUGGGGGACCUUCGGACCUCACGCUAAUAGAUGAGCCUAGGUCGGAUUAGCUAGUUGGGGGGGUAACGGCUCACCAAGGCGACGAUCCGUAGCUGGUCUGAGAGGAUGAUCAGCCACACUGGAACUGAGACACGGUCCAGACUCCUACGGGAGGCAGCAGUGGGGAAUAUUGGACAAUGGGCGAAAGCCUGAUCCAGCCAUGCCGCGUGUGUGAAGAAGGUCUUCGGAUUGUAAAGCACUUUAAGUUGGGAGGAAGGGUUGUAGGCUAAUAUCUUGCAGCUUUGACGUUACCAACAGAAUAAGCACCGGCUAACUCUGUGCCAGCAGCCGCAGUAAAAC